UGAUGAAUCAGUUGCGACAUGUUGUGAAUCUUCGACUUCUUCCUGUGUCCCGCCACUAAAACACGCAAAAUGAGCCAUCGACGGGACCCUGCGUCUCCGUGAUUCAUUGAAUCUUUCAUCAUUUGGAACUCAAAAUGACGACGGGACGACAAGUGGCUCCUGGACGGGAAGAAACGAAAAGAAAUAAGAAGAUGAGACGUAUGUGUGUGUGUGUCCACUACUCUUUUUUUCUCGGCAUCCCCUCGUUUUAUACCCAGGUUUUCGUAAUACUCAACUCGGAAUUUGAAACUGAGACGUUGGCACGGCUCACCUACAACCUUUGUUGAGCUCAUAAAACCUGCUACGAACAGGUGUCGACCUAGAGCUACUAGAUGACCCGUGUAGAGGGAUGGCUCUUAUUUAUAUGAAACAAGAACUUUCU
ensembl:ncRNA T05G5.15 ncRNA